rnacentral:misc_RNA from 1 species
GAUGAAGAACGCAGCGAAAUGCGAUACGUAAUGUGAAUUGCAGAAUUCAGUGAAUCAUCGAGUCUUUGAACGCACAUUGCGCCCUCUGGUAUUCCGGAGGGCAUGCCUGUCCGAGCGUCAUUGCUGCCCUCAAGCACGGCUUGUGUGUUGGGCCCCGCCCCCCGAUCCCGGGGGGCGGGCCCGAAAGGCAGCGGCGGCACCGCGUCCGGUCCUCGAGCGUAUGGGGCUUUGUCACCCGCUCUGUAGGCCCGGCCGGCGCCUGCCGAUCAACCAAACUUUUUUCCAGGUUGACCUCGGAUCAGGUAGGGAUACCCGCUGAACUUAGGCAUAUCAAUAAGCGGAGGA